rnacentral:misc_RNA from 1 species
AAAUGCGAUAAGUAAUGUGAAUUGCAGAAUUCCGUGAAUCAUCGAAUCUUUGAACGCACCUUGCGCUCCUUGGUAUUCCUUGGAGCAUGCCUGUUUGAGUAUCAUGAAAUCUUCAAAGUAAAUCUUUUGUUAACUCAAUUGGCUUCUACUUUGGUAUUGGAGGUCUUUGCAGCUUCACACCUGCUCCUCUUUGUUCAUUAGCUGGAUCUCAGUGUUAUGCUUGGUUCCUCUCGGCGUGAUAAGUUAUCUAUCGCUGAGGACACUGUAAAAGGUGGCCAAGGUAAAUGCAGAUGAACCGCUUCUAAUAGUCCAUUGACUUGGACAAUACUUUUAUGAUCUGAUCUCAAAUCAGGUAGGACUACCCGCUGAACUUAAGC